UUUACUCCUCUAGACCUCAAAAAAAACCACACCAGGUGAACCAAACCUGAAAUCACAGUACAAAAUCCGACACUGUGAACCAAAAACACGACAACUCUACUCCUCUAGACCCUCAAAAAACCACCAGGAUCAAGAAAUGACCAACUCAAAGAAGCAGCAGAUUAAGAAAUGAAUCAAACCUGAAAUCUGGGCAGCUGGAAAUUGUGCUUUUUUCCAAAUCACAGUAGUAAGGAACCGAUCUUCUCCUGGAUCUCUGAAGAUUGGCUGCACUGGUAAUGGAGAAAGGGAGCCUUUUUUUGGGUUUGCUCAGUGAGUGAGCACUACUGAGGAGCAGAGCAAGAUCAGCAAAGUGGUGAAGUAUGAAGGAACGUGCUUGUUAAAAAGGGAGGAGAAAUGGAAUGAUUAAAAUAAGAAAACAGAAUAGAGGAAAAAGAUGGAUGCUUUGGAUUGGGAUGGGCAGUGAGUGUCGUCGGUGGAUCCGG
rnacentral:lncRNA from 1 species